rnacentral:misc_RNA from 1 species
AAGUCGUAACAAGGUUUCCGUAGGUGAACCUGCGGAAGGAUCAUUAAUAGAGCAAUGAACAGACAGCGCCCCGGGAGAAAUCCUGGGGGCUACCCUACUUGGUAGGGUUUAGAGUCGUCAGGCCUCUCGGAGAAGCCUGGUUCAGACCUCCACCCUUGAAUAAAUUACCUUUGUUGCUUUGGCAGGGCGCCUCGCGCCAGCGGCUUCGGCUGUUGAGUACCUGCCAGAGGACCACAACUCUUGUUUUUAGUGAUGUCUGAGUACUAUAUAAUAGUUAAAACUUUCAACAACGGAUCUCUUGGUUCUG